UGGCGGCGUGCCUAAUACAUGCAAGUCGAGCGGACAGAUGAGGAGCUUGCUCCUCUGAUGUUAGCGGCGGACGGGUGAGUAACACGUGGGCAACCUACCUGUAAGACGGGGAUAACUCCGGGAAACCGGAGCUAAUACCGGAUAAUAAAGAGAAACGCCUGUUUCUUUUUUGAAAGUCGGUUUCGGCUGACACUUACAGAUGGGCCCGCGGCGCAUUAGCUAGUUGGUGAGGUAACGGCUCACCAAGGCGACGAUGCGUAGCCGACCUGAGAGGGUGAUCGGCCACACUGGGACUGAGACACGGCCCAGACUCCUACGGGAGGCAGCAGUAGGGAAUCUUCGGCAAUGGACGAAAGUCUGACCGAGCAACGCCGCGUGAGCGAUGAAGGCCUUCGGGUCGUAAAGCUCUGUUGUCAGGGAAGAACAAGUACCGGAGUAACUGCCGGUACCUUGACGGUACCUGACCAGAAAGCCACGGCUAACUACGUGCC
rnacentral:rRNA from 1 species